GAUGAACGCUAGCGGCAGGCCUAAUACAUGCAAGUCGAACGGGAUCCAGAUCAAAGCUUGCUUUGGUUUGGUGAGAGUGGCGCAAGGGUGCGUAACGCGUGAGCAACCUGCCCUUGUCAGGGGGAUAGCCCGGCGAAAGUCGGAUUAAUACCGCAUGACAUCCUUGAGAGGCAUCUUUCGAUGAUCAAAGAUUUAUCGGACAAGGAUGGGCUCGCGUGACAUUAGCUAGUUGGUAAGGUAACGGCUUACCAAGGCUACGAUGUCUAGGGGCUCUGGGAGAUGAGUCCCCCACAUGGGUACUGAGACACGGACCAGAGGCCUGCGAGAGGCAGCAGUAAGGAAUAGGAGGCAGUGGACGGAAGUCUGAACCAGCCAGGCAGAGUGCAAGAAGGCGGCGCUAUGGGUUGUAAGCUGCUUUUAUACGGGAACAAUCGUCGGUACGGGGACCGGUCUGAGUGUACCGGAAGAAUAAGCAUCGGCUAACUCCGUG
rnacentral:rRNA from 1 species